UUCCAUAGUAACCAUCAUACUGGACGUACGGGGCUGGGCCCCCGCCAUAACCACUAUGGCACGGCCCACCUGCACGCCCUUGGUAACAAUCCAUACAACACGCUCGGACAGGCGGUCGAUACCCUGGCACACAAGGAACCGGCUGAGGCGGUGGCGGUCCAGGAUUAUGGCACGGCCCACCUGCAUGCCCCUGGUAACAAUCCAUACAACAUGCUCGGACAGGCGGUCGGUGCGCUGGCACACAAGGAACCGGCUGAGGUGGUGGCGGUCCAGGAUUAUGGCAUGGCCCACCUGCAUGCCCCUGGUAACAUUCCAUACAACACGUUCGGACAGGCGGUCGGUGCGCCGGCACACAAGGAACUGGCUGAGGCGAUGGUGGUCCAGGAUUUGGCUUACCGUCAUCUUUAGGCUUGCUGUCAUCUUUAGGCUUGCCGUCAUCUUUAGGAUUGCCGUCAUCUUUAGGCUUGCCAUCAUCUUUAGGCUUACCGUCACCCUUACCGUCACCCUUACCGUCACCUU
rnacentral:lncRNA from 1 species